rnacentral:rRNA from 2 species
CAAUAAGCGGAGGAAAAGAAACCAACAGGGAUUACCUCAGUAACGGCGAGUGAAGCGGUAACAGCUCAAAUUUGAAAUCUGGCUCUUUCAGGGUCCGAGUUGUAAUUUGUAGAAGAUGCUUCGGGUGUAGCUCCGGUCUAAGUUCCUUGGAACAGGACGUCAUAGAGGGUGAGAAUCCCGUAUGUGACUGGUUGCUUUCGCCCAUGUGAAGCUCUUUCGACGAGUCGAGUUGUUUGGGAAUGCAGCUCUAAAUGGGUGGUAAAUUUCAUCUAAAGCUAAAUAUUGGCCAGAGACCGAUAGCGCACAAGUAGAGUGAUCGAAAGAUGAAAAGCACUUUGGAAAGAGAGUUAAACAGUACGUGAAAUUGUUGAAAGGGAAGCGCUUGCAACCAGACUUGCACCCCGUCGAUCAUCCCCCGUUCUCGGAGGUGCACUCGGCGGGGUUCAGGCCAGCAUCGGUUUCGGUGGUGGGAUAAAGGCCUUGGGAACGUAGCUCCUCUCGGGGAGUGUUAUAGCCCUCGGUGCAAUGCCGCCUACCGGGACCGAGG